rnacentral:rRNA from 1 species
UAGGGAAUCUUCCACAAUGGACGCACGUCUGAUGGAGCAACGCCGCGUGAGUGAAGAAGGUUUUCGGAUCGUAAAGCUCUGUUGUUGGUGAAGAAGGAUAGAGGCAGUAACUGGUCUUUAUUUGACGGUAAUCAACCAGAAAGUCACGGCUAACUACGUGCCAGCAGCCGCGGUAAUAUGUAGGUGGCAAGCGUUGUCCGGAUUUAUUGGGCGUAAAGCGAGCGCAGGCGGAAUGAUAAGUCUGAUGUGAAAGCCCACGGCUCAACCGUGGAACUGCAUCGGAAACUGUCAUUCUUGAGUGCAGAAGAGGAGAGUGGAAUUCCAUGUGUAGCGGUGGAAUGCGUAGAUAUAUGGAAGAACACCAGUGGCGAAGGCGGCUCUCUGGUCUGCAACUGACGCGGAGGCUCGAAAGCAUGGGUAGCGAACAGG